rnacentral:lncRNA from 1 species
CUUCAGGCUCCUUCUCCCCCUCUGCCCCUUCCUCCCCGCCCUGGAGGAUUUCUUUCUUUUCCUCAGCCCCUUGACCAGGCUGCUCUCCUUCCAUCAUUUCUUGGGCUUUUAUAGGGCUCGUCUUCCUGUUGGCUUCUUCUCCUUCAUUGGCUACGUCGGCUGUGUUAUCCGUGGCGUUCUCAAACUUGGUUUCUGAGAAUUGUGUCUCACUCUUUUCGGUAGGGUUACUUUUCUCAGCAGAUAAUGAUUUCUUCUUUUCGUAACCUUCUGACCCUUCUUCUUUUGGAAGUUCCUCAGUCAGUUCUUGGUCUUUGCUCUUUGCGACCCCUUCAAUCACCAGCCAUAAGGCUUUGCCGUGGUCCAGGAGCUCAUCACCUUCAGGAGUCUUCACACCUAAAGUCUGCUCAUCUUCUGUGGCCAGAAGCUGAUCAAAUUCUGCUCCUGAGGUCAGCUCGCCUUCUGUUCCUGAGGUCACCUGGCCUUCUAGCGUGGAGGCCAGCUCCUCUUCUGCCCCUGGAGUCACCUGGCCUUCUGGCCCAGAGGUCAGCUCGUCUUCUGCCACUGAGGCCUGCGGGCCUUCUGCCUCUGAGGCCAGCUCCUCUUCUGCUCCUGGGGUCACCUGGUCUUCUGGCCCAGAGGUCAGCUCGCCUUCUGCCCCUGAGGCCUGCUGGCCUUCUGCCUCUGAGGUCAGCUCACCUUCUGCUCCUGAGGCCUGCUGGCCUUCUGCCUCUGAGGUCAGCUCACCUUCUGCUCCUGAGGCCUGCUGGCCUGCCUCUGAGGUCAGCUCACCUUCUGCUCCUGAGGCCUGCUGGCCUUCUGCCUCUGAGGUCAACUGGCCUUCUGGCCCUGAGAUCUGCUGGCCUUCUUGCCCUGAGGUCGGCUGGCCUUCUACUUCUGAGGUCAGAUCCUCUUCUGCCUCUGAGGUCGGCUGAUCUUCUGAGGUUUGCGGGGCUUCUGGCCCAGAGGUCUCCUCCCCUUCUACUCCUGAGAUCUCCUCACCUUGGGCCUCUAAGAUCUCCUCACCUUGGGCCUCUAAAAUCUGCUUGCCUUCUGUCUCUGAGGUCUCUGCUUCUACCCCUGAAGUGUGCUUGCUUUCUGACUCCGAGGUCUCCUCCUGUACCACUGGGGUCUGCUGGCCUGACUUUGAAGACCGCCUGCUUUCUGCCCUUGAGGGCCGCUUGCUUUCUGCCCCUGAGGGCCGCUUGCUUUCUGUUCCUGAGGGCCUCCUGCUUUCCCCAAGCGAGGUCCGCUUGCUUUCUGCUGCUGAGGGCUUCCUGCUUUCCCCAAGUGAGGGCCGCCUGCUUUCCAAGAGUGAGGGCCGCCUGCUUUCCGUACCGGAGGGCCGCCUGCUUUUGUGGGAGGGCUUCCUGCUU